AGAUGUGGUUCAAAUGAGUGGAGUACAAUCAAUGUCAACUUUUAGUAGAAAGACUUCACCACCUAAGGUUUACGUGCGAAAACACAUACAAGAUGUUACAGAUGUUAUCAGGAAAAACACGGCAAAAGGCUGCAAUCUGGAACAUAAAGACAUUCACAUUUCACAAUAUACAACUGGUCAGAAAGAGGCGUUUUCAGCUGCCUUGAAUAAAAA